rnacentral:rRNA from 1 species
GAUGCUAAUACCGGAUAACAACAGAUGAUGCCUAUCAACUGUUUAAAAGAUGGUUCUGCUAUCACUCUUGGAUGGACCUGCGGUGCAUUAGCUAGUUGGUAGGGUAACGGCCUACCAAGGCGAUGAUGCAUAGCCGAGUUGAGAGACUGAUCGGCCACAUUGGGACUGAGACACGGCCCAAACUCCUACGGGAGGCAGCAGGG